AAUAAAGUGCCUGAAUAAAGGAAUAUUCUGAUAGAAUAAAUAAUGUAAUUUUUUUACCUUUAUUA
rnacentral:tRNA from 1 species